GGUUGUAGUUCAGUGGUAGAGCGCUCGCCUAUCACAUGUGAGGCACUGGUUUCGAUCCUCAGUACAUCA
rnacentral:tRNA from 1 species